rnacentral:rRNA from 1 species
GCAUGCAAGUCGAGGGAGAAGCAUUUGUUCCGUAAGGUUCAGAUGUGGAAACCGGCGAACGGGUGCGUAACACGUGAGAAACCUGCCCCCUUGACCGGGAUAGCCCGAGGAAACUCGGAUUAAUACCGGAUACUCUCUUUGGAUCGCAUGAUCCGCUGAGGAAACAGUCCGCUGCUAGGGGAUGGUCUCGCGGCCUAUCAGGUAGUUGGUGAGGUAACGGCUCACCAAGCCUAAGACGGGUAGCUGGUCUGAGAGGACGAUCAGCCACACUGGAACUGAGACACGGUCCAGACUCCUACGGGAGGCAGCAGCAGGGAAUAUUGCACAAUGGGCGAAAGCCUGAUGCAGCGACACCGCGUGCGGGAUGACGGCCUUAGGGUUGUAAACCGCUUUCAGGAGGGAAGAAAAUGACGGUACCUCCAGAAGAAGCUCCGGCCAACUACGUGCCAGCAGCCGCGGUAAUACGUAGGGAGCAAACGUUGUCCGGAUUUAUUGGGCGUAAAGGGCUCAUAGGCGGUUCAACAAGUCGAUCGUGAAAGCCCGGGGCUCAACCCCGGGAGGCCGGUCGAAACUGUUGUGACUAGAGUUCGGUAGAGGUGAGUGGAAUUCUCGGUGUAGCGGUGGAAUGCGCAGAUAUCGAGAGGAACACCAUUAGCGAAGGCGGCUCACUGGGCCGAUACUGACGCUGAGG